GCCGCGCACGGUGGCAUGUGCCUGUAGUCCCAGCUACUCGGGAGGCUGAGGCUGGAGGAUCGCUUGAGUCCAGGAGUUCUGGGCUGUAGCGUGCUAUGCCGAUUGGUGUUCCCACUAAGUUCGGCAUCAAUAUGGUGACCUCCGGGGAGUGGGGGACCACCAAGUUGCCUAAGGAGGGGUGAACCGGCCCAGGUCGGAAAUGGAGCAAGUCAAAACUCCCGUGCUGAUCAAUAGUGGGAUCGCGCCUGUGAAUAGCCACUGCACUCCAGCCUGGGCAACACAGCGAGACUCUGUCUCU
rnacentral:SRP_RNA from 1 species